rnacentral:rRNA from 1 species
GACGAACGCUGGCGGCGUGCUUAACACAUGCAAGUCGAACGGAAAGGCCCUGCUUUUGUGGGGUGCUCGAGUGGCGAACGGGUGAGUAACACGUGAGUAACCUGCCCUUGACUUUGGGAUAACUUCAGGAAACUGGGGCUAAUACCGGAUAGGAGCUCCUGCUGCCUGGUGGGGGUUGGAAAGUUUCGGCGGUUGGGGAUGGACUCGCGGCUUAUCAGCUUGUUGGUGGGGUAGUGGCUUACGAAGGCUUUGACGGGUAGCCGGCCUGAGAGGGUGACCGGCCACAUUGGGACUGAGAUACGGCCCAGACUCCUACGGGAGGCAGCAGUGGGGAAUAUUGCACAAUGGGCGGAAGCCUGAUGCAGCAACGCCGCGUGCGGGAUGACGGCCUUCGGGUUGUAAACCGCUUUCGCCUGUGACGAAGCGUGAGUGACGGUAAUGGGUAAAGAAGCACCGGCUAACUACGUG